rnacentral:rRNA from 1 species
UACAGAGGCCUCGAGCGUUUAGGGCGGAAUCACUGGGCUUAAAGCGUGUGUAGGCGGACUUCUAAGUGCCUUGUGAAAUCCCACGGCUCACCCGUGGAACUGCUGGGCAUACUGGGAGUCUUGAGCCACCUAGGGGCGAGCGGAACAAAUGGUGGAGCGGUGAAAUGCGUAGAUAUCAUUUGGAACGCCAACGGAGAAAUCAGCUCGCUGGGGGGUGUGCGUGACGCUGAGACACGAAAGCCCAGGGGAGCGAACGGG